rnacentral:rRNA from 1 species
AGCGAACGUUUGCGGCGGGCCUAACACAUGCAAGUCGAACGCACUAGCAAUAGUGAGUGGCGCACGGGUGCGUAACACGUGGGUAAUCAACCCUUCAGCUUGGGAUAACGACUUGAAAGGGUCGCUAAUACCGGAUACGGCGCGGGAGGCUUCGGCUUCUCACGAGAAAGCCUCGCAAGGGGCACUGAAGGACGAGCCUGCGGCCCAUCAGCUAGUUGGUGAGGUAAGAGCUCACCAAGGCGAAGACGGGUAGCUGGUCUGAGAGGAUGAUCAGCCACACUGGAACUGAGACACGGUCCAGACUCCUACGGGAGGCAGCAGUGGGGAAUAUUGCGCAAUGGGCGAAAGACCUGACGCAGCCGCGCCGCGUGAGCGAUGAAGGCCUCGU